UUCCGGGAUAUUCAGGGUCUUUCGGACGAUUUUGCAAGUUUCAAGUAUUACGGACUUUUGCAUUUUUGUAACGAUGGUUUUAUUCGUUAUAUUCAGUCUUUCCAGGUAUCCUGCAAGCUUCUUGGUAACUAGCCCAGUGGCCGAUAUAAUUACAGGGAUAACAUGUACUGCUUUUAGGGUUGUGGUCCGAGGGAUGUGAGACGUCGAUGAAAUACGCCUUUUUAUUAGCCUUAUCCAGCAGAAUAAUGUCUGGUCUAUUGCUGGCUAUUGGUUUAUCUGUUACUAUUGGUGUAUCCCAGUAUAGCCGAUAAUUUUCGUUCUCAAGAAUUGGAGCAGAUUCCAGCUUAUCAUAAGUUAUCCAACCCGAAUCUCAUUUUGAUGUCAUCUGAGAAUUGUUGUGUGAGUUGGAUUAAUCUAUUCAGUGUGUUUUCAGAUCCCGCAUAUAGCUUCAGAUCGUCAACGUAAAAGAGGUGGCUUAGUUUAUACUUUUGGUCUCCAUUUUUCAGCUCGUAUCCUAGGUUCGAUCUUUUUAAGGCCCAGGAGAGGGGAUUCAGGCUCAGGAUAAACCAUAUAGGGCUUAGCGCAUCGCCCUGGAAAAUUCCACUUCGUAUUGGUAUUUCUUCGGUGUUCACAGAUCCAGUAUCAAGGUUUACAACUAAUUUGGUCUGCCAGUUUUUCAUACACCUUUCUAAUAGAUUGACUAUCUUCUCAUCGAUUUUAUAGAGUCUUAAGCAUU